rnacentral:misc_RNA from 1 species
GUCGAAAAUAAAUCGUUUAUAUUUGUGAUUGUUAAGCCCGCUGAUAACAGAGCUGCGUGCGUUUUGGGAUUAACCGAUCCGCAGAAGUUUUAGUCUGCUCUUGACACUCGCCGCGUUCGCAGAGCCCCACGAUGCUCCGCAAUCUGUCCGUGUGUCUGAUAUCAUUUAUGGGGCUCUGGUGCCUGAGCCACACUCACAACCAGCGCCUGCCCCCAGAAGGGCGAAUGCGCCCCUCGAGAGACGACACGAUCCGCUCUCCCGUGGACCGCGACAUAGUCUUUCCGGAGUUAGACGCGGCACCAGGCAGGCCCGAGGAGAAGAUGUGGUUUCACAUAACAGACUUUCAGUUUGAUCGGGUGGAGGGCCCGACCCAGCCCAAGCCCAAGCCCAGGCAACACCCCCCGCCGCCGAGGCCUGGCCAGCCCUUUCCGCCGCCCCCCGGGGGCUUCAAAAAGAAGGAAAACAAGCAACGCCGCCUCUGCGAGCAAAAAUACUCCGAAUAUGUGGAGCGCAUCUUUCCCAAUGACACCGCAGUGGCUGAAGAUGCCAACGACGCAGACUUCGAUGGUCGGGUCCUGGCCAGGCCCGGCUGCCGUGGGCUUCGAGUCGGACAGAGGGCGAGUCGACUACAAAUGUGGCGGCAGCUUGAUAAGCGAGAGAUUCGUGCUUACCGCAGCCCACUGUACAUCCAUAUACGAGACGGCUCCCAAGUGGGUGCGCAUCGGCGACCGCGACCUGGUCGCCGAGGGGCGGUCGGUGGAGGGCCAGCUGCUUCGGAUUGAGCAAGUGUUCGCGCACCCAAAUUACAAGAAAGAGAUGUACUAUGACGACAUUGCCCUACUUAAGCUGGAGAAGGAAGUGGAACUGACGGAAUACGUCAGACCUGUCCGCCUGUGGGUCUUCCCAGAGCUGCCCACGACGAUAGCCUUCGCCAUGGGGUACGGCGCCACGAGCU